rnacentral:rRNA from 1 species
UACGGAGGGUCCAAGCGUUAUCCGGAAUCAUUGGGUUUAAAGGGUCCGUAGGCGGUUUUGUAAGUCAGUGGUGAAAGCCCAUCGCUCAACGGUGGAACGGCCAUUGAUACUGCAAAACUUGAAUUAUUGGGAAGUAAUUAGAAUAUGUAGUGUAGCGGUGAAAUGCUUAGAUAUUACAUGGAAUACCAAUUGCGAAGGCAGGUUACUAUCAAUAUAUUGACGCUGAUGGACGAAAGCGUGGGGAGCGAACAGG